rnacentral:rRNA from 1 species
CCUACGGGAGGCAGCAGUAGGGAAUUUUCGGCAAUGGGCGGAACCCUGACCGAGCAACGCCGCGUGAACGAAGAAGUUAUUCGUAAUGUAAAGUUCUUUUAACAGGGAAGAAAGAGCAAUUUGACGGUACCUGAAGAAAAAGCAUAGGCUACCUCCGUGCCAGCAGCCGCGGGAAUACGGAGGAUGCGAGCGUUAUCCGGAUUUAUUGGGUUUAAAGGGUGCGCAGGCGGAAUGUCAAGUCAGCGGUAAAAUUUCGGGGCUCAACCCCGUCGUGCCGUUGAAACUGGCGUUCUUGAGUGAGCGAGAAGGAUGCGGAAUGCGUGGUGUAGCGGUGAAAUGCAUAGAGAUCACGCAGAACUCCGAGUGCGAAGGCAGCAUACCGGCGCUCAACUGACGCUCAUGCACGAAAGCGUGGGUAUCGAACAGGAUUAGAUACCCGAGUAGUC